UACGAAGGGGGCUAGCGUUGUUCGGAUUUACUGGGCGUAAAGCGCACGUAGGCGGAUCUUUAAGUCAGAGGUGAAAUCCCAAGGCUCAACCUUGGAACUGCCUUUGAUACUGGGGAUCUCGAGUUCGGGAGAGGUGAGUGGAACUGCGAGUGUAGAGGUGAAAUUCGUAAAUAUUCGCAAGAACACCAGUGGCGAAGGCGGCUCACUGGCCCGAUACUGACGCUGAGGUGCGAAAGCGUGGGGAGCAAACAGGG
rnacentral:rRNA from 1 species